rnacentral:lncRNA from 1 species
UGCUGCACUACAGGAGAUUCUUCCAGAAGAAGCCCUGGAGUAAAGGACAGGGUCCAGUUCUGCUGGCAACAGGCUCAGAGGGAGCGAGCCCUAAGAAAUCACUGAGCCUGCACUAUUCUGAUAGAAGACAUACAGUUUGAAACCAAGUCCAGAAGCAUGAUUAGGAGAGUUGAAGAUCACGCUGCCUGCAGCUUCAUGCAUCCGCAGAGACGCCCCAGCAUCUGGAGCAGGGCUUGGCCUGCGAUUGAAGUUCGGUGGAUGCUACACAUGGCAAAGCACGAAGUGACCCCGGAUAUGCAGCCAGCCUCACGUGGAUGCCCAUCGGAAUGUAUGAAUUUUGAACAUACAAAAACUAGUGAAAUCCCUAAGUAUUUAUAUGUUAACUCAGUCACAGCAGCACUUAAAAUUAUGUACCACAUAUAAUUAUAAUUCCAUUAUACUGCUUUGAUC